UACGGAGGGGGCAAGCGUUGUCCGGAAUUAUUGGGCGUAAAGCGUCCGCAGGCGGCACUUCAAGUCUGUCGUGAAAGCCUGGGGCUUAACCCUGGAAAGGCGGUGGAAACUGAAGCGCUAGAGUGCGGUAGGGGUAGAGGGAAUUCCCGGUGUAGCGGUGAAAUGCGUAGAGAUCGGGAAGAACAUCGGUGGCGAAGGCGCUCCACUGGACCGCAACUGACGCUGAGGGACGAAAGCGUGGGGAGCGAACAGG
rnacentral:rRNA from 1 species